CAGCAGCCGCGGUAAUACGUAGGUGGCAAGCGUUGUCCGGAAUUAUUGGGCGUAAAGGGCUCGCAGGCGGUUUCUUAAGUCUGAUGUGAAAGCCCCCGGCUCAACCGGGGAGGGUCAUUGGAAACUGGGAAACUUGAGUGCAGAAGAGGAGAGUGGAAUUCCACGUGUAGCGGUGAAAUGCGUAGAGAUGUGGAGGAACACCAGUGGCGAAGGCGACCCUCUGGUCUGUAACUGACGCUGAGGAGCGAAAGCGUGGGGAGCGAACAGGAUUAGAUACCCCCGUAGUCCCUGUCUCUUAUAC
rnacentral:rRNA from 1 species